GAUGAACGCUAGCGACAGGCCUAACACAUGCAAGUCGAGGGGCAUCGGGGUGUAGCAAUACGCUGCCGGCGACCGGCGGAUGGGUGAGUAACGCGUAUGCAACCUGCCUUCAGCAGGGGGAUAGCCCGUUGAAAGACGGAUUAAUACCCCAUAACACAGGGGCUCCGCAUGGAGAUUAUUGUUAAAAGGACACUUCCUUCGGGGGGUAUUCCGGCUGAAGAUGGGCAUGCGUUCCAUUAGGUAGUUGGUUGAGGUAACGGCUCACCAAGCCUACGAUGGAUAGGGGAACUGAGAGGUUGGUCCCCCACACUGGUACUGAGACACGGACCAGACUCCUACGGGAGGCAGCAGUGAGGAAUCUUGGUCAAUGGACGGAAGUCUGAACCAGCCAUGUCGCGUGAAGGAGGACGGCCCUAAGGGUUGUAAACUUCUUUUGCAGGGGAAUAAAGUAUUCCACGAGAUGGGAUAUUGCAAGUACGCUGCGAAUAAGGAUCGGCUAACUCCGUG
rnacentral:rRNA from 1 species